UCGUCCAUUAUCUAAUGGAUUAGGUAUUUUAAACCUUUGGUAUAGGUUCAAAUCCUAUUGGACGCA
rnacentral:tRNA from 1 species